rnacentral:ncRNA from 1 species
GAACUCAUCAAUAUGGCCCCGUAACUUCGGGAGAAGUGGUGCUCUCCUAUUUUUUGAGUAGAAAAUCCUCACAUACCGGGGGUACCAAUUGUGUAUUAAAAACACAGGACUCUGCUAAGUGGUAACACAAAGUAUAGAGUCUGACACCUACUCGGUGCUGGAAGGUCGGAAGGAGAAGUGUUAUAUGCUUUGU